UACGGAGGGUGCAAGCGUUAUCCGGAUUCACUGGGUUUAAAGGGUGCGUAGGUGGUUAGGUAAGUCCGAUGUGAAAUCUCCAGGCUCAACCUGGAAAUGGCAUUGGAUACUAUCUAGCUUGAGGAGUGGAGGGGGGACUUGGAAUUCUCGGUGUAGCAGGUGAAAUGCGUAGAUAUCGAGAGGAACACCAGUGGCGAAGGCGAGUCCCUGGACACUUCCUGACACUGAGGCACGAAAGCUAGGGGAGCAAACAGG
rnacentral:rRNA from 1 species